rnacentral:lncRNA from 1 species
CGAGCCCGCACCGGCGACGCUCACGGCCGUACACGGGCAAGUCCCCUCCUCCUCUCCUUUUUCUCUCUCUCCUUGGUUCCGAUCGGAAGCCCUAGCCAUUUCGGCCGAUCCUCCGGUCUUCUUCUUCUCCUCCGGCCGGAUCUACGGCCUCUUCCUCCUCUCUCUUUCUUUCUUUCUUUCUUUUCUUUGGUCCUUCCCUCCGGCACCACCGCCUCUUGCCGGAGAGGAG